rnacentral:lncRNA from 1 species
GGACCAGCAGACGAUACGUUUCUGGUUCCUUCCCGACCCGAGAAACAGAAGCGGGUGUGUAAAGUCAUAUUGGACCGUUUUGACCAACAGUACGGCCAGGAACUUGGCCCCCUAUGGCCGUCUGCAAGGUAUGUCAGCGUUCACCUCGUCCUCUUAAUCGUUUUUCUACAGUAUUACGUGUCAAUUACAAUAUUAUAAAUCGUUUUAUUACUCUGAACUUAAAUCGGAUGAGAACUCUGUUUCCUAAAUGGCACCGUAUUCCCUAUAGGUCCUGGUCUAACGUUGUGCGCUAUACCUUUAUUUAACUAGUCAGUUAAGAACAAAUUCUUAUUUUCAAUGACGGCCUAGGAACAGUGGGUUAACUGUCUUGUUCAGGGGCAGAACGACAGAUGUGUACCUUGUCAGCUCG